AGCAGCCGCGGUAAUUCCAGCUCCAAUAGCGUAUAUUAAAGUUGUUGCAGUUAAAAAGCUCGUAGUUGAACUUCAGGCCUGGCUGGGCGGUCCGCCUUCCGGGUGAGUACUGCCUGUGGUCGGGUCCUACCUUCUGGCGAAGCGUCAUGGCCUUAACCGGCCGUGGCGGGGAACCAGGACUUUUUACUGUGAAAAAAUUAGAGUGUUCAAAGCAGGCACGCGCUUGAAUACAUUAGCAUGGAAUAAUGGAAUAGGACAGUGGUUCUAUUUGUUGGUUUUCUAGGACCGUUGUAAUGAUUAAUAGGGAUAGCUGGGGGCAUUAGUAUUCAAUUGUCAGAGGUGAAAUUCUUGGAUUUAUUGAAGACUAACUACUGCGAAAGCAUUUGCCAAGGAUGUUUUCAUUAAUCAAGAACGAAAGUUAGGGAUCGAAGACGAUCAGAUACCGUCGUAGUACUUAACCAUAAACUNUAGCCGACUAGGAUCGGGCGAUGUAGAC
rnacentral:rRNA from 1 species